rnacentral:rRNA from 1 species
GACGAGCGCUGGCGGCGUGCUUAACACAUGCAAGUCGAACGGUAAGGCCCUUCGGGGUACACGAGUGGCGAACGGGUGAGUAACACGUGGGUGAUCUGCCCUGCACUUCGGGAUAAGCCUGGGAAACUGGGUCUAAUACCGGAUAGGACCACUGCCUGCAUGGGGGGUGGUGGAAAGCUUUUGCGGUGUGGGAUGGGCCCGCGGCCUAUCAGCUUGUUGGUGGGGUGAUGGCCUACCAAGGCGACGACGGGUAGCCGGCCUGAGAGGGUGACCGGCCACACUGGGACUGAGAUACGGCCCAGACUCCUACGGGAGGCAGCAGUGGGGAAUAUUGCACAAUGGGCGCAAGCCUGAUGCAGCGACGCCGCGUGAGGGAUGACGGCCUUCGGGUUGUAAACCUCUUUCAGCACCGACGAAGCGCAAGUGACGGUAGGUGCAGAAGAAGGACCGGCCAACUACGUGCCAGCCGCCGCAGUAACAC